rnacentral:rRNA from 1 species
CACGUAGGGUGCAAGCGUUGUCCGGAUUCAUUGGGCGUAAAGGGCUAGUAGGCGGCUUAGCAAGUCGGGUGUGAAAACUUCAGGCUCAACCUGGAGCGGCCAUCCGAUACUGCUAUGGCUAGAGUCCGGUAGGGGACCACGGAAUUCCUGGUGUAGCGGUGAAAUGCGCAGAUAUCAGGAGGAACACCGGUGGCGAAGGCGGUGGUCUGGGCCGGAACUGACGCUGAAUAGCG